rnacentral:misc_RNA from 1 species
UGCCUAGUUCAGCUGCUUCAAGAGAGGUAAACUCGAUUCCCUUACAUUCAUUUGUUGUUCUAUUUAUUAGGCUUUGUACAUGUCCUCUUUCGCAUAAGUUUUAGCCUUGUGAUUCUUGUUUUAUUCUCUUGAAUUAUGGUAAGUCUUCUAAGCAUUUUGUAUAACCAAAUUUUCCCACUCGUAUGGGGCUGGAAAGAUUUAUGAUUGCUCAUUUCUAUUCUUGCCUUGGCUUUGGUUAGUUGGGUUCGAUACUAAGAUUCAAUAUAGUUUCCUCUUACAUAGUCAAUCUAUUGAGUUCUUUUCUUUACUGUUUGGAUGAAUUAAUUAGUAUUUAUGCUUUCAAUACCAUUGAUAGGAGAUUUUGGGUUAGUUUAGGUCAAUAUAGGUUAGUGAAUUGAUUUUGUUAAGCUUGUG